GUCUAUUCUGCCCAUUGAAUAAAAAUUUAAAAGGCCGCAGUAUUCUGACUGUGCAAAGGUAGCAUAAUCAUUAGUUUUUUAAUUGAAGGCUUGUAUGAAUGAUUGGACAAGAAUUAAGCUGUCUCUUUCAAUAAUAUUUGAAUUUUAUUUUUAAGUGAAAAAGCUUAAAUUAUUAAGAAAGACGAUUAGACCCUAUAAAUCUUUAUGUAAAUUAAUUUUUAAGUUAAAAUAUAAGGCUAAUUAGGCUUAAAGAAUUAAUUCAUUGUGCUGGGGCGGUAGUGAUAUAAAGAAAGAACUGUCAUUAUAAAAAACAAGUAUAUUUGUAAAGUAAAAGAUCCUGAUAUUUGGAUUUAAAGUGAAAGUUACUUUAGGGAUAACAGCAUAAUUUAUUUUCAGAGUUCAAAUCGAAAAAGAAGCUUGUGACCUCGAUGUUGAAUUAAGAGAUCCU
rnacentral:rRNA from 1 species